rnacentral:rRNA from 1 species
AUACGGAGGGUGCGAGCGUUAAUCGGAAUUACUGGGCGUAAAGCGUGUGUAGGCGGCCAUAUAAGUCGAGUGUGAAAUCGCUUGGCUCAACCAAGCAACUGCGCUUGAUACUGUAUGGCUUGAGUACGGAAGAGGAAAGUGGAAUGUAAGGUGUAGCGGUGAAAUGCGUAGAUAUUAUGAGGAAUACCGGUGGCGAAGGCGGCCCCCUGGCCCAAUACUGACACUGAGGUACGAAAGCGUGGGUAGCGAACGGGAUUAGAAACCCCGGUAGUCC